UACGUAGGGGGCAAGCGUUGUCCGGAUUUAUUGGGCGUAAAGAGCGUGUAGGCGGCUAGGUAGGUCCGUUGUGAAAACUCGAGGCUCAACCUCGAGCUGUCGAUGGAAACCAUCUGGCUAGAGUCCGGAAGAGGAGGGUGUAAUUCCUGGUGUAGCGGUGAAAUGCGCAGAUAUCAGGAAGAACACCCGUGGCGAAGGCGGCUCUCUGGUACGUGACUGACGCUGAGACGCGAAAGCGUGGGGAGCAAACAGG
rnacentral:rRNA from 1 species